rnacentral:rRNA from 1 species
UACGUAGGGGGCAAGCGUUGUCCGGAUUGAUUGGGCGUAAAGAGCGUGUAGGCGGCCAGGGAGGUCCGUUGUGAAAACUCGAGGCUCAACCUCGAGACGCCGAUGGAAACCCCCUGGCUAGAGUCCGGAAGAGGAGAAUGGAAUUCCUGGUGUAGCGGUGAAAUGCGCAGAUAUCAGGAAGAACACCCGUGGCUAAGGCGGUUCUCUAGUACGGUACUUACGCUGAGACGCGAAAGCGUGGGGAGCGAACAGG